GACAGAGGCCUCAAGCGUUUAGGCGGAAUCACUGGGCUUAAAGCGUGUGUAGGCGGAUCGUUAAGUGUCUUGUGAAAUCCCACGGCUCACCCGUGGAACGGCUGGGCAUACUGGCGAUCGUUGGGCCAACUAGGGGCAACUGGAACAAGCGGUGGAGCGGUGAAAUGCGUAGAUAUCGCUUGGAACGCCGAAGGUGAAAACAGGUUGCUGGGGUUGUGCCGACGC
rnacentral:rRNA from 1 species